UACGGGGGGAGGCAAGCGUUGUUCGGAUUUACUGGGCGUAAAGGGCGCAGGUAGGCGGCCAGCACAAGUCAGUUGUGAAAUCUCCGAAGCUUAACUCGGAAAGGUCAACUGAUACUGCAGGGCUAGAGUGCAGAAGGGGCAACUGGAAUUCUCGGUGUAGCGGUGAAAUGCGUAGAUAGUCGAGAGGAACACCUGCGGCGAAGGCGGGUUGCUGGGCUGACACUGACGCUGAUGAUGCGGAAAGCUAGGGGGAGCGAACGGG
rnacentral:rRNA from 1 species